GAGACUUUCUGGAGUUUUGAUACAGGGAGACAAAGAUAUGGGAGAUUCAGGGACUUCAUUGGUGUGAUUCAUCCAUCAGAUGGGUCCGUUUAUCCCUCAAAGAGGAUAUUGGAGCCUGGUGGGCAGGGAGUUGUAGGAAACUCUUAAUUUGUAAUCAGCUGUGGCAGAAGGAGGGUGUCAUUGGCCUGGAAUGCCACAGAUUCUGUGGCCUACAAAAGCUGAUCAUUCUCCACAGUUCUGAUUCCCAGGGACUUACAUGUUCAUAGUAUCCUUGCUUCUAGCUUCUGCUCCCACACGUUCUGUGUAGCUCUAUACCUCCAGACCCAGAACUCAGCCUCUGCUUCUUUACUGGUGGUGGGAGGGAAGUAAAAGUGAAGAGAAAAAUAUUUUUUAAAAAUUUUUUUCUGAAGUUUAUUAUGGGAAGGUAUUACAUUGACAUUGACAUUAUUCCUCUUCCGUCUGUUUGAUCCUCCUGUUCUCUCUUCUCCCUCCACUGCCAUCUCUCUUCCAUGCUCCUUCCUUUCCAAUUCAACCUCAGAGGCUAUCUGUUGACAUUACUAUAUGUAAUCUCAAAGAAAUAUUCAGUGAAAGGCCGGGUGCGGUGGCUCACGCCUGUAAUUCCAGCACUUUGGGAGAUUGAGACGGGUGGAUCAUCUGAGGUCAGGAGUUCGAGACUAGCCUCACCAACAUGCUGAAACCCUGUCUCUACUAAAAAUACAAAAAAUUAGCUGAGUGUGGUGGUGGGCAGCUGUAAUCCCAGGUACUUGGGAGGCUGAGGCAGGAGAAUUGCUUGAACCUGGGAGGCGGAGGUUGCAGUGAGCCAAGAUCGCGCCAUUGCACUCCAGCCUGGACAACAAGAGUGAAACUCCGUCUCAACAACGACAACAAAAGAAAUAUUCAGUGAAAAAAAUUAAGAGUGCCAUCCACGGAAAAGGCCUAUAAACAAUGACCAACCCAUUAAUAGUGAGCACCCAGAUUAAGAGCUCUAAAUACCAUUUCCCACAUAGAAACCUCAGAGAAAUGGCUAAUUUCAGGACUGAGGCAGGAAAAAUACAAGGCCCUGAUUAGGUUAUUGACAUU
rnacentral:lncRNA from 10 species